GUCCUGUGGUGAGCACAAAGCGAACUAUUCUUUCGCCUUUUACUAAAGAAUACCGUGUGAUCUCCACGAUUAACAGGCAUACACUAAUUUUUGGAGGGGUUAACUUCUAUACGAAGUUU
rnacentral:snRNA from 1 species